CAGCAAUGAUGAGCUUCUACUUCUGGUCCGUGUUUAUGAACACCAUGAUCUUUUCAGAAGUUCUGAGUGA